rnacentral:snoRNA from 1 species
CUCCUCUCAGGAUCACACCUGGAGAGUUUCCAGUACUCUACCAGUCUUGGAUAUGAGAGGGAGAGUCAAGCGGAGACUUACACAUUCCAUUCCUAGCUUGGGCAGCGGCAAGUGAGUGGAAGGCAAAUCUGCUACAAGU